rnacentral:rRNA from 1 species
UGGGGAAUCUUGCACAAUGGGGGCAACCCUGAUGCAGCGACGCCGCGUGAGCGAUGAAGCCCUUCGGGGCGUAAAGCUCUUUCGACCGGAACGAUAAUGACGGUACCGGGAGAAGAAGCUGCGGCUAACUACGUGCCAGCAGCCGCGGUAAUACGUAGGCAGCAAGCGUUGUUCGGAGUUACUGGGCGUAAAGCGUGCGCAGGCGGUUUUGUAAGACAGAUGUGAAAUCCCCGGGCUUAACCUGGGAACUGCGUUUGUGACUGCAAGGCUGGAGGACGGCAGAGGGAGGUGGAAUUCCACGUUUAGCAGUGAAAUGCGUAGAGAUGUGGAGGAACACCGAUGGCGAAGGCAGCCCCCUGGGCCUGUACUGACGCUCAUGCACGAAAGCGUGGGGAGCAAACA